rnacentral:lncRNA from 1 species
GUAUUUUUAAUGCUAAUAUAUAAUUAUAUAUUUUCUUCAUGUAGUGAACCUUUUUCUUUUUUUGCAAACAGGAUUCCGUGUUCAUCAACAAUAUUUGAUGUCAUGGUCUGUUCUAAUGUUAUCAUCUCUGACCCUACUCUCCCAUGCCGUAUUUCAUAUUGUUUUAGCCAUUGAGGGGGAUCAGUGGACUACUGCUGAUGCUCAGUGGGCUGAGCUAAUUGGAUUUAUAAG